rnacentral:lncRNA from 1 species
AGGAAAUCAAAUGUGCAAUGUAAUUCAAAAUUAGAAAAAACGACCCAGAUCACACAACUUACUUUUAUUUUAAAGAUUUUCUUUUUAAUAUACAACAUUGUAUGUACACUUUAUAAUAUUUUCAUAAAAAUGGACAAGUGGCACAACUUUACCUCCUUUAUUUGCAGCACAUAAAACGUUAACUCCAGUCUUCAAUUGUACUCUUUGUUGAAAAAGUGCUGUCCCACAAGGCAGGAGGUGUGUAGUUUCUCCCAAAUUCCAUGCCAUAUUCCUGUUUUAAAUGUUUUUUGGUAAAACCUGUAACCUAUUCAGCAUAGAAUCUAAUUAUUUGGUCCUAAAACCAAGGCUCUCCAGCAAUUAUGACCACAAAGAAACAUCAUAUGAUUGACUGUAAAUGUAGAUAGUACCUUAGGCAUGGAUUCAACUCUUCAUUCAACUAGAGAUGACCUGUGAAACUGGGCAAUGGGUCAAAUAUUUAAUUUGAGAGAUUAACAAUGUUAAUUUGAUGGCUUCUAAACAAAGUCUGUUCAUAAAACUAGGGCUCAAUUAAAUAAAUGAAAUAAAAUCGAACAGCCUGAACCAGACGUCAGCUCUAAUGUGUUGAACCAGGCCUAGAUCAAACCUAAACAUGUGGUUUGGGCUCUCACAUUCACACCAACAGAACUAUAAGGUCUAUUCGAUAUUUUCAGUAAUUAAAGUAACAUUUCAGUCUUUUCCUGCUUCAGAAAACUUGGAGUAUUACUGUAUUUUCUGUAAUUUUAUCUUGUAGGCUUUCACUGUAUGGAAAUGAGCAGCACACACAUUUUUCAAACAUCUCCUUUUGCACUCCACUGACGAAAGAACAUCAUAUGUGUUUGGAAAGACACAAGGGUGAGUAAAUAAAUCACAACAUUUUCAUAUGAGUAUUCCUUUAACUUCUGUGUGAGAGUCCGAACCAAUAUUUUUAAUCACAACUGUACUGCAAAGUGCUUUAAAGUCCUUGCUGACAGCUUUUUAGUUUGACAGAAAAAUAAAUAAAAAUGAUUUUCAUCCUGUGCCAAAAAGCGAGAACAAAGCAAACAGGAAAAAAAGAUCACUGUGGUAAUAAUUAUUAUUUUUUUUUAAGUAGUUACUUAUGUUGAAUGAGCAGGGCUCAAUAUUGAAACUAAAACAAUAAAUAUUUCUAAUAAAAAUACAAAUGUUCAUCUGCAGCACAGGCCUGGAUGUGAAUUGUUUUGUGGGUGGCGUUUGUUUUCAAAUAAUAGGUGACCACAUAUAAAAACACUCAUUCAUUCACGGGCCUGCCCUUACACACAUAUGGCACCAGCAAUCUCCACUAUAUUCAUUAUUAACAUAUAUAUUUGUUAAAACCCUGAACACUCAAAGUCCCAACAAGUACCUAAUUCACCUUUGUUAGAUUUCUUUGUCACUUCUCUCUCUCUCUCCCCAUUGAAGCUUGGCAUAUAGUCUCUUUGCCAGCGUAAAGUGCAGCAGUGCUUGGUUUAUGUCCUGUGUUCCUGGCUCGAGAAACUUCUCCAUCACUCUGUCACGGAGCUGUAACAUCAUCAUGUGGAGAUCCUGUCAGUGAAUUUCAGCAUCAUUUCCGGGAAAAGCUGGCAUUGCAUUAGUUGGAUUCGUACAGCGUGGACUUGAGCGGUUUCACCAGGCCCUCCUCGUAAACCUUCAGUAUGGCCUCACACACAAACUUGAACUGGCUCUGAGAAAACAGAACAGAGAGGAAGUCAUGGUGAAUGCAAGACGUGUCCGUCUAAUACGCAAGAGCAGCCAAGUGUGAUGGCAGUAACUGGGAUAGAGAGAGACGGUUACACUGUGGAACAAAACAAAAGCAGAAAAUAAGAUGCGGACUGGAAGAAAUGAAAGUCAAGUAAAUGUAGCUCAGGUCAAUCCUUCAAAAUCAUUCACCAAGUAAAGCCAGAACAGCAGAUCAUUUUAAAAAAGAUUUUGAAAUGUUUUUGAAUGAAGUCUCUUAUGAUCACUAAGGCUGCAUUUAUUUGAUCAAAAAAUAAAAGCAGGAAAAAAACAACAAUAAUACUGAUAUACAUUAUUACAAUUCGAAAUAUAUGAAUAUAUAUCAAAAUGUAAUUUAUUAAUGUGAUGGUAAAGCUGAAUUUUCAGCAGCUCUUCCUCCAGUCUUCAAUGUCACACGAUUCUUCAGUAAUCAUUCUAAUACGCUGAUUUGGUGCUCAAAAAACUUAUUUUCACUUAUUAUCAAUUUUAAAAACAAUUGUGCUGUUAAUAUUCUUGUUGGAAACUGUGAUUAAAAAAUCUGAAAAGAACAGCAUUUAUUUGAUUCAGAUUUUUUAAAAAUAAUAUAAAUGUCUUUACUGUCACAUUUGAUCACUUACAUGCAUCCUUGCUGAAUACAAAUACUUAUUUCUUUCAAAAACCAUUUACUGACAUGUUAGUGGAUGACCAAUAGAAAAAGUGAUGCCUUAGUAACACCAGUAAUUAAAAACAGCAGAGUGGAUGCACAAGUGUUUUCACUGAGCAUCAAUCCAUUCUCCUUCCUGCUGUCUAAUUAGUGUGGUCUUGUGGUCAGCAGCCUCUGGGAUGACAGGCCUCAUUAAACU